GUGGGGAAUAUUGGACAAUGGGCGAAAGCCUGAUCCAGCAAUGCCGCGUGAGUGAUGAAGGCCUUAGGGUUGUAAAGCUCUUUUACCAGGGAUGAUAAUGACAGUACCUGGAGAAUAAGCUCCGGCUAACUCCGUGCCAGCAGCCGCGGUAAUACGGAGGGAGCUAGCGUUGUUCGGAAUUACUGGGCGUAAAGCGCGCGUAGGCGGCUCAGCAAGUCAGGGGUGAAAUCCCGGGGCUCAACCCCGGAACUGCCGUUGAAACUGCUAGGCUAGAAUCCUGGAGAGGCGAGUGGAAUUCCGAGUGUAGAGGUGAAAUUCGUAGAUAUUCGGAAGAACACCAGUGGCGAAGGCGACUCGCUGGACAGGUAUUGACGCUGAGGUGCGAAAGCGUGGGGAGCAAACAGGAUUAGAAACCCGUGUAGUCC
rnacentral:rRNA from 1 species